ensembl:lncRNA
GUAAAUACUCAACACCGACCCCAACGGAAGCCUGGAGCCCGAAUCGUGGAGUCCGGUUUGGCAGACGCGGCACUUGACCUUUUACCUUUUGUGAAGUACAGUUUGCAGACUUUACUUGCGUUGGCAGAUUUAAACACAAUGAAGCUCAGCAGGGUGGAAUCACAGCAGCAAUAAGCACAACAGCUGUGUUACACGGAGCCGAGCAGGACUCAGCAGUUGACGUCAUUGUUAUGGGUAAAACCACAAAUUCUUUCUCGCCUUGUGCUGAAACAAGUCCGCCACAGGCGAUCUCCUCCUCUCCGCGGCCUCAAGCCGUCGAACCAUCGAGAAGGGAUCCUGUUUGCAAACCACCUUUCUGUUGUGCACCGUUUGCACCGCAUUGCUCUCGAGGAGGCCAGACUGUCAAUUAAAGACCGUGCUGCUGCUCCGCCGCGUCUCUACGAGAGGCCCGGGCGGCCAUGAAAAAGCGCAAUCAAAGGACGUGAUUGCCAUCAUGCGACCACCUCUCUGGAAGCAGCACAGCAAGUCAACAUCAAGCAACGUGUUUUUUAUCGGGAGGACGACUUGAUUGCUGACUGAACCUGGAAUUUUCUUUGGCUGAAAACAGCUGCGACUGAAACGACUGUUUUCUCCACUAAGAUCCACAAAAAGACUUUCUAUGAUAACUUAGUAAAACGGGUUGAGCACGUUCACCACGAGGCAACAACUAAGUUUUUGUAUUUGCCGUCCGUGCUUUAGUUUUUCAAUGCAAUAUUGUGGAGGAAAUUGGUCCCUCAACUAUAACGGAGGAAGUAUGAACUCCUGCCUACAUCUUGACACAUACAGAUUGUCACACUAUGCCACACGUGUGCAAUAAAAUCCCCUUAGAGUGCUUGAAUUUUCUUUUUGAUUAAAUCUGUGUCUGUGUGUGCAAGGGCCCUUGCAAGGGUCGACACACAGACCCACAUUAAGGCAGAGCAGAAGAGAGAUUUACAAAACCUCUGAAAGGUUUGGCCAUGAAUUUCUGUGUUUCAUUCCCCUCUUCGACACAAUGGCGACCGAAAACAUUUAGUGCUCAGAAUUAUUAUUUUGUCUAUUGAAAGGAAGCCGUUGUGCUUAAUCCGCCGCUGUAAUACACUCACCAUGUUCCACAUCCUUCUUUCCACACACCAGAAAUACAGGUGACACCUUUAAAAGAAUAAGCUCAAUCACGUAUUGCAAAAUGCAGUUUAGGAUGUGCUUGCAAAAGUAAAAGAAACUUCAGUGACACUGACGUAAAGAACAUUUGUCUUCUCCACAUUUACUAGUUAAUGCAUGUAUUGGCGUACUGAUUGUUGUUAGGGAUUUGUCUCUGUUUGUUGUCCCAUGCAUUUGCUGAUCACGGCCACUUUUCUGUCUUUUAUAAAAGCUUUCCUGGCAGCAUGUCUAGUAGAAUUUCAUUACUCAUCAAUGUGCAGCAACGCAGGUAAGAUUGAAACUCUGACUUUCUCCAGUGACCCACGAUGCUCC